rnacentral:rRNA from 1 species
AGGGUAUGGCUGUUCGCCAUUUAAAGUGGUACGCGAGCUGGGUUUAGAACGUCGUGAGACAGUUCGGUCCCUAUCUGCCGUGGGCGCUGGAGAACUGAGGGGGGCUGCUCCUAGUACGAGAGGACCGGAGUGGACGCAUCACUGGUGUUCGGGUUGUCAUGCCAAUGGCACUGCCCGGUAGCUAAAUGCGGAAGAGAUAAGUGCUGAAAGCAUCUAAGCACGAAACUUGCCCCGAGAUGAGUUCUCCCUGACCCUUUAAGGGUCCUGAAGGAACGUUGAAGACGACGACGUUGAUAGGCCGGGUGUGUAAGCGCAGCGAUGCGUUGAGCUAACCGGUACUAAUGAACCGUGAGGCUUAACCUU